rnacentral:rRNA from 1 species
AAUCAACGCUGGCGGCGUGCCUAACACGUGCAAGUCGAACGAGAAAGUGGAGCAAUCCAUGAGUAAAGUGGCGUACGGGUGAGUAACACGUGACUAACCUACCCUUGAGUGGGGGAUAACUUCGGGAAACCGAGGCUAAUACCGCAUAAUACCUUCGGGUCAAAGGAGCAAUUCGCUUAAGGAGGGGGUCGCGGCUGAUUAGCUAGUUGGUAGGGUAAUGGCCUACCAAGGCAAUGAUCAGUAUCCGGCCUGAGAGGGCGCACGGACACACUGGAACUGAAACACGGUCCAGACUCCUACGGGAGGCAGCAGUGGGGAAUUUUGCACAAUGGGGGAAACCCUGAUGCAGCAACGCCGCGUGGAGGAUGAAGUCCCUUGGGAUGUAAACUCCUUUCGACCGGGACGAUAAUGACGGUACCGGUAGAAGAAGCCCCGGCUAACUCUGUGCCAGCAGCCGCGGUAGUACGAGGGGGGCAAGCGUUGUUCGGAAUUAUUGGGCGUAAAGGGUGCGUAGGCGGUUUGACAAGUCUAAUGUGAAAUCUAUGGGCUCAACCCAUAGUCUGCAUUGGAAACUGUCG